rnacentral:rRNA from 1 species
UAUUAUAGAAUGUGAAAAAUGAAAAACUGAAGUAGUAAAAGUUAUGGUCUUAAAAUUUAAAGAAUUUGGCGGUGUUUUAGUCCUUUCAGAGGAAUCUGUUCUGUAAUUGAUGAUACACGAGUGGAGUGACUUAAUUUGGUGAUCAGCUUGUAUACCGCCGUCGAAAUGAAUAUUUUAGUGAGGAAGAUAAAUUUCUGGAAAAAUUAUUGUUUGUUAUGUCAGGUCAAGGUGCAGUUUAUGGUUAAGAAGAAAUGGAUUACAAUAUAAUGAUAUAUUUUAUGGAGUUAUUGUUAAAUAAGUUAUAUGAAGGUGGAUUUGAUGGUAAAUUGAUUUACUGAUUGAUUGAUUAGGGCUCUAAAGCAUGUACACAUCGCCCGUCGCUCUCGUUUGUGAUAUGAG